rnacentral:rRNA from 1 species
UACGGAGGGAGCAAGCGUUGUUCGGAAUUACUGGGCGUAAAGGGCGUGUAGGCGGGCCGAUAAGUCAGAUGUGAAAUCCACCGGCUUAACCGGUUGAACUGCAUUUGAAACUGCCGGCCUUGAGAACAGGAGAGGGGAGUGGAAUUCCAGGUGUAGCGGUGAAAUGUGUAGAUAUCUGGAAGAACACCAGUGGCGAAAGCGGCUCCCUGGCCUGAUUCUGACGCUAAGGCGCGAAAGCUAGGGGAGCGAACAGGAUUAGAUACCCGCGUA